ACGUAGGGUGCGAGCGUUAAUCGGAAUUACUGGGCGUAAAGCGUGCGCAGGCGGUUCGUUGUGUCCGAUGUGAAAGCCCCGGGCUUAACCUGGGAAUGGCAUUGGAAACUGGCGGGCUGGAGUGCGGCAGAGGGGGGUGGAAUUCCACGUGUAGCGGUGAAAUGCGUAGAGAUGUGGAGGAACACCAAUGGCGAAGGCAGCCCUCUGGGCCAACACUGACGCUCAUGCAUGAAAGCGUGGGGAGCAAACAGGA
rnacentral:rRNA from 1 species